CCCUCCCCUCAUCUCUGCGCCAUGGUGAAGCAACGCGGCGACUCUCCCCGAUCUGCACCUCUCUGACUGGCUCGGGCCCGACGCCUCCGCUCGCCGCUGCGCCUACGGAUCUGAGCUCGUGCGCAGUGGCGGUGGUAGGAAGGUGCGGCGAUGCUCGUUCCCACGGCCGCGACGGCAAGAGCUAGAAGGCGGGCGGCGCCGCGAGCUCUUGUCCCUAGGAUGCAGCCCGUCCUCUCUUUGAGCUCGCCGCCGCCAUCGCCGGGAGGAUCGUCACGCCGUCUUCCUCGCAUCCGCCGGGCUGUUCGUGGGAAUUCGCAGCCGUCGAUCCCGUGCACCGUUUCUUCCUCUCCUCGAGGACUCGCGACGAAGAAGCUGGCGGAGAAGGAGCCCGACUGGAGGAGAGUGAGAUGUAGGGAGCCUCGCCACCAUCGUCCUCCUGGAGUCAGGGCUGGGCAGGGAUGGUGGAUUCAUUCUAUUUCUGAGUGGUGAAGUCAUCUUCUCCACCGGAUCCGCUGCAGGGCGUCACCUCUGCAAGUUCCUAGGAGAUGGAGGGCUCGAGGAGCCGCACGCACAGCCGAUGAUUGGAAUGCUGGUGCCAAAGAUCCUCCCCAUACAUAGGUACUGGCUUCUUCUUUGUCUCUCCCUCCCUCCGUGCCUUGCCUCCCACUAUCAUCAUGGACGGCACAUUGAUAUGCGUAAGCAAGUUACAUUUCACUGGCCUGUUGUAAAGGUUUCCUGCCUGUACUACUGAAUUUCAAAAUUAUCUAUGCACAUACCUAGAAGGGAAGGUAGACAUCAUUAGAUUUCUAUUGGUAAAGUUUCAACCCGCUCUCAUGCUACUUUGCUUUAUAUUAUGCUUGCCAUAUAAUUGUUUAUCACUUAGCAACUGACGAUUGGACUCAAAGCAGCGCAAUUCUGGGUAACUUUGACCAAGAUAAUGUAUUUUGUUGCAUAAGGUUGGGUUUAAAUACCCUUGCCAGAGAAGUGUAAUGGAGUUCAUCCUUCAAUCAUGAGAUGUGCUGAUGCAUACUUGUUGAGAGUUGCUGCAGUGUACAUACAAUGGAUAACGGAUUAUUAUGAAGACUUCUCAUAUUGUGUAUAUGAAUCUAGAUCAACCAUCUAUCUCCAAUACCAUGCACCAAUGCUUGGAAUUCACUCAAGUGUCAUACUCGCACUACCAAAUCAGGCUACGAAGACAAGUCAUCGUGCGCACAUGUAUGACCUUACCGCCGUCGUUGUUAUUCAUUUUUUCUAGAGAAAAAACAGCUGUCAUUAGGCUCUAAAUUUGCAAACUAACUAAACAAUAAAUACAGACCAUAUCUGAAUUUUUGAAGAUUUUGGUGGUCCAUACACCAGAAGAGUAUAGCAUUUAAAAAGCGACUGGCAUUUGAUGAAUUGCUGAAAGGUGGAUGCACACUUUGGGGGACAGUAUUCCAAGAAAUUGAUUUCUUCUUCUGGUUUAGGGAGAUUUUCAGAAUCUGACAAGAAACUGAUGCAAUAUUUAUUUUCCUAUUAUUGGAAUCUCCUGCUACGUAGAAUCAUAAUGCUCUUCUCAUUAUACAGGCAGUGCAAGGUCUAACAUGAUUGUGCUGAUGCUCUCUCCUUUGUAGAUGACCAUCCCAAUGUUUGGGGUUUACAUACUUGAUUUCUUCUUCUGGUUUAGGGAGGUCUUCAAAAUUGGACAAGAAAUUGAUAGAACCUGAAUUAGGUUCCCGAUCUUUGAAGCAUGUUCACAAGGCCGUGCAAACCUUCUCCUGAAGCUAUACAUUAUAAAAAUGAGGCAUGUGUGUGUCACGGUUCUUUUUGCUUCUAAUAGACACUAUGGUAAACCUUUCUUCUCUUAUCCGUUUCUUAUUACGCGGGGCCCAUUUUGAAUUUUCUUAUUACCCUAAGCCAAAGGACAAAUGCAAAACAUGUCAAAUAAUGGCGCGGGAGGGAGCCUUCAGAAGAAAAUAGGUUACUGAAACAGAUAACCGAUAACCGAUAUACACUAUGGCAAUGACGGCAGGAGGUGGUGAUUUAGUUCUGCUUAUUUGUUAGAUUUCUUUGGGAGGGAGGGCCUGGUGGAUGUGUGCUAUUUUUGCGGAUGUAGGCUGAGGUGGGAUUUGUAUCUGCCAUUGGUGGGGUGGAACAUAUUGACUUGGUUUUCAGGAUUUUGUGAUCGGGGUCAGCCGACCUGCUGCAUACAAAUUAUUGGACCAUUCUCUUCUCAUGGCUGCUUCUCCUUUAGAGUCUAUGCAGCUUGGUGGUGAGGUGCUUGAGGUAGUGUCUCCGCGUCAGGAACCUGUUCUUAAGCAUGCCAGUACUUCGUGGUGGUGAGGUCUGUCUUGAAGGUCCCGUUGUUUGAUUAUUAAAUACCAAUAGGAGUCGGUCAGUGAACCAGUGAUGCAAUAACAUUCAGGCAAGCAUUGUUCUAUGCAUUUUUAUCGUGGUACGUAGUCUUGAGAAAAGCUUUGGAGAGUUCAAACCAACACUACUCUUGCAUUUUCUGAACUCUCUGUGAAAUAUGCAGUAAAACUCGGUUACAGUGUUUAUCAUUGGAACAUAAACUACAAUAUUGCAUUACUACUAGCUUCAUGGGUAUUAGUUUUCUGAUAACUGUUCUUUCUGAAUGAACCUUUCAUGUAUUCUCACUCAAUGGCCAAGCGGUGAAUGACUAAUCUCUGUUCUAUAGAAUCAUACUGAAUAUAUUCACUCAUUUUCAAGUACUAUUACAGAGCUUUCACAUAUCCUGCUUGACCGGACAACGGUGGUUGUGAAGUCUGUCGAGCAGAUGACCAUGGUGGGGAGGCGGGUGUUCAGCCGCUGAUGGAGGCACUACCCAACCCCUAUGUUUUAUGCAUGUUUCUUUGUGAAAAUUGUGUGAUGAUCAAGUCGAAUGGAAUCUUGAUUAGUCAGAUUGCUUUACUUUUGAUCCACCUGAACUAUCUGUAAUGGAUCAUCAGAUAUCAACAUGCUACCUAUGGGUUCGUAUGUGUUUAUCACCACGAUUAAUAUCCUUUCUUCCAUUGUCAUUUCUCUUACACUUCCUGAUGCCUGCACGAAGCCAACUGUUGG